rnacentral:rRNA from 1 species
UCUUCCGCUAUGGACGAAAGUCUGACGGAGCAACGCAGCGUGAGUGAUGAAGGUUUUCGUAUCGUAAAACUCUGUUGUUAGGGAAGAACAAGUACCGUUCGAAUAGGGCGGCACCUUGACGUUACAUAACCAGAAAGCCACGGCUACCUACGUGCACGCAGCCGCGGUAAUACGUAGGUGGCAAGCGUUGUCCGGAAUUAUUGGGCGUAAAGCGCGCGCAGGCGGUUUCUUAAGUCUGAUGUGAAAGCCCCCGGCUCAACCGGGGAGGGUCAUUGGAAACUGGGGAACUUGAGUGCAGAAGAGGAGAGUGGAAUUCCACGUGUAGCGGUGAAAUACGUAGAGAUGUGGAGGAACACCAGUGGCGAAGGCGACUCUCUGGUCUGUAACUGACGCUGAGGCGCGAAAGCGUGGGGAGCGAACAG